UAGGGAAUCUUCGGCAAUGGGGGGAACCCUGACCGAGCAACGCCGCGUGAGUGAAGAAGGUUUUCGGAUCGUAAAGCUCUGUUGUUAAGGAAGAACGAGUGUGAGAAUGGAAAGUUCAUACUGUGACGGUACUUAACCAGAAAGGGACGGCUAACUACGUGCCAGCAGCCGCGGUAAUACGUAGGUCCCGAGUGUUGUCCGGAUUUAUUGGGCGUAAAGCGAGCGCAGGCGGUUAGAUAAGUCUGAAGUUAAAGGCAGUGGCUCAACCAUUGUAGGCUUUGGAAACUGUUUAACUUGAGUGCAGAAGGGGAGAGUGGAAUUCCAUGUGUAACGGUGAAAUGCGUAGAUAUAUGGAGGAACACCGGUGGCGAAAGCGGCUCUCUGGUCUGUAACUGACGCUGAGGCUCGAAAGCGUGGGGAGCGAACAGG
rnacentral:rRNA from 1 species